rnacentral:rRNA from 1 species
UACGGAGGAUGCGAGCGUUAUCCGGAUUUAUUGGGUUUAAAGGGUGCGUAGGUGGCAGGGCAAGUCAGAUGUGAAAGCCCGGGGCCCAACCCCGGUACUGCAUUUGAAACUGUCCGGCUGGAGUGCAGGAGAGGUAAGCGGAAUUCCUAGUGUAGCGGUGGAAUGCGUAGAUAUUAGGAGGAACACCAGUGGCGAAGGCGGAUUGCUAGACUGUAACUGACACUGAGGCACGAAAGCGUGGGGAGCAAACAGG